rnacentral:rRNA from 1 species
GACGAACGCUGGCGGCGUGCUUAACACAUGCAAGUCGAGCGACGCUCUUCCUUCGGGGAGCUGACGGAGCGGCGAACGGGUGAGUAACACGUGGGCAACCUGCCCCUAGCUCUGGGACAACACCGGGAAACCGGUGCUAAUACCGGAUACGACAUCGAGCGGCAUCUCUCGAUGUGGAAAGUUUUUUCGGCUAGGGAUGGGCCCGCGGCCUAUCAGCUUGUUGGUGGGGUAAUGGCCCACCAAGGCGACGACGGGUAGCCGGCCUGAGAGGGCGACCGGCCACACUGGUACUGAGACACGGCCCAGACUCCUACGGGAGGCAGCAGUGGGGAAUAUUGCGCAAUGGGCGAAAGCCUGACGCAGCGACGCCGCGUGAGGGAUGACGGCCUUCGGGUUGUAAACCUCUUUCAGCAGGGACGAAUUCAGACGGUACCUGCAGAAGAAGCACCGGCCAACUACGUG